rnacentral:tRNA from 1 species
GCGAGAAUAGCUCAGCAGGCAGAGCAUCAGCUUCCCAAGCUGAGGGUCGCGGGUUCGAAUCCCGUUUCUCGCU